UACGUAGGUGGCAAGCGUUGUCCGGAUUUAUUGGGGUUUAAAGGGUGCGUAGGCGGCCCUGUAAGUCAGUGGUGAAUGCUCCAGCUUAACUGGAGAGGUGCCAAUGAUACUGCAGGGCUUGAGUACAGAUGAGGUAGGCGGAAUUGACGGUGUAGCGGUGAAAUGCAUAGAUAUCGUCAAGAACACCUAUAGCGAAGGCAGCUUACUGGGCUGUAACUGACGCUGAGGCACGAAAGUGUGGGGAGUCAAACAGG
rnacentral:rRNA from 1 species